AACAUGCGACGCUCUUGACUUUGAGGGGUUUCUCAAAGGGUGUGGACAGUAGAAUAGGAGAUUCUUAUUGCUGGUCUUUUUGUUGUAUGCCUAUAUUUUAAUUAGAGGGUUAGAGAGGUGUUUUAUAUUUUUGACGUGGAGGUCUCUAUAAAAGCCUUGUUGUAAAAACCUUGAUCAUUAUUGUGCAUUUUGCUUUCUGUGGUUGGAAUGACAUUGGAUGUAGGCGGGUUGGCCGAAGCAGUAUAAAAAACAGUGUUUGAAUUUUCUGAUCCCUACACUUUUACUUUAAGUCGACUUUGUUCUACAUUAAGUCAACUUUAUUUCCGCUGCAUUAACAAGUCUUUUUCCUUGCAUUUCAAGAAAGUUUUACAAGCAUAAUUAUUUUACUAAAAAUAUUUUAACAAGACUCUGAUUUUAAGUUUCACCAACUCACCCCCCCC
rnacentral:lncRNA from 1 species